GACGAACGCUGGCGGCGCGCUUAACACAUGCAAGUCGAGCGAAGCGGCGGACGGGUGAGUAACACGUGAGUAACCUGCCUUAGACAUUGGGAUAGCCUCGGGAAACCGGGAUUAAUACCAAAUGGUCGAAGAUGGACUCGCGUCCCAUUAGGUAGUUGGUGAGGUAACGGCCCACCAAGGCGACGAUGGGUAGCCGGCAUGAGAGGGUGAACGGAAACAGUGGAACGGAGAAACGGUGCAAAUUCCGCGGGAGGCAGCAGUGGGGAAUAUUGAACAAUGGAGGGAUCGCGGAGGCAGCGACGUCGUGGAAACGAAGAAGGCUGGCGAGUCGUAAAGUACUUUUAAAUGGGAAGCGGUACCAUAAGAAAAAGGCCCGGCUAACUACGUGCCAGCAGCCGCGGUAAUUC
rnacentral:rRNA from 1 species